rnacentral:rRNA from 2 species
GAGGGGCUCGCGGCCUAUCAGCUAGUUGGUGAGGUAACGGCUCACCAAGGCGACGACGGGUAGCUGGUCUGAGAGGACGACCAGCCACACGGGGACUGAGACACGGCCCCGACUCCUACGGGAGGCAGCAGUGGGGAAUUUUCCGCAAUGGGCGAAAGCCUGACGGAGUGACGCCGCGUGGGGGACGAAGGCCUUCGGGUCGUAAACCCCUGUCAGAGGGAAAGAAGGGUUCGGGCGUGAAUAGCGCUCGGAUCUGACGGUACCUUCAGAGGAAGCCCCGGCCAACUCUGUGCCAGCAGCCGCGGUAAGACAGAGGGGGCAAGCGUUGCUCGGAAUCACUGGGCGUAAAGGGCGCGUAGGCGGGAUGGCAAGUCGGUCGUGAAAUCCCUCGGCUCAACUGAGGGGGGUCGGCCGAUACUGCCGUUCUUGAGGGAUGCAGAGGAGACUGGAAUUCCCGGUGUAGCGGUGAAAUGUGUAGAGAUCGGGAGG